rnacentral:rRNA from 1 species
UACGUAGGGGGCAAGCGUUGUCCGGAAUUAUUGGGCGUAAAGAGCGUGUAGGCGGUCCGGUAAGUCAGCUGUGAAAGUCAAGGGCUCAACCCUUGAAAGCCGGUUGAUACUGUCGGGCUAGAGUCCGGAAGAGGCGAGUGGAAUUCCCGGUGUAGCGGUGAAAUGCGCAGAUAUCGGGAGGAACACCAAUGGCGAAGGCAGCUCGCUGGGACGGUACUGACGCUGAGGUGCGAGAGCGUGGGGAGCGAACCGG